rnacentral:rRNA from 1 species
GCAAACCACGGGACGCAGCAGUGGGGAAUAUUGCGCAAUGGGCGAAAGCCUGACGCAGCGACGCCGCGUGAGGGAUGAAGGUCUUCGGAUCGUAAACCUCUGUCAGCAGGGAAGAACGGUCACUGUGCUAAUCAGCAGUGAAUUGACGGUACCUGCAAAGGAAGCACCGGCUAACUCCGUGCCAGCAGCCGCGGUAAUACGGAGGGUGCGAGCGUUAAUCGGAAUUACUGGGCGUAAAGCGCUCGUAGGCGGUAUGGCAAGUCAAGGGUGACAUCCCCGCGCUCAACGUGGGAACUGCCUUUGAA